GAUGCUGCAAAGAAGUGGCCACACCUCAGCAUUAAAACUGCUCAAUGGUAAUUCUGUUAUAUUCACUUCACUUUGCUCAAUUAAACUGACUUCAUUUCCAGUCACAUUGCAGUUAGAAAAGGAAAUCCCUUAAGGUAGCAGUUCUGUUUCUAGUUGUAUCAUCCAGAUCAGUAUACAUGAGGUAGAAAAAAAUUGCAAUAAUUUAAAAGCAAGUAUCAGCAGGUAAGUGCAGUACCUGCAAGACACCUUUUAUCCAAAGUUCUCAUGGCUUUUCUGUGUGAGCUUUGACAAGAUGCCAUACUUGCAAAGGCUGCAGUUCACUUACAUUUAAAAGAAUAAGCUUGUGCCAUUAUUUCUCAUGGACCUUUGAAUAAAUCCAUCACUGACUGCAAGAGGCUGGGUUAACUGAACAAGACAAAACUAAGUAAAGACAGGAAAUCUGGGACAGAAUAAAUAUAAGGAAAAAUCAGGAAAUGAGCAAGAGCAAAGAGAUGGAGGGAAAAUGUGUUGCAGGAUUUAUGAAAGGUUUUACUAAGGCACACGCACACACAAAAAAUAAAAGACAGAGAAGGAAUGCAUAUGCUGCUCUGCCUGAAUGCCACCCACAAGUCGUUUGUUCCAUAGAUGGGGCUUUUCUAUCUGUAGAAGCUUUGUUCCUAAGUACAAUCCAUUGAUGUAGUAAGCUCCCAAUCACAGGAUCAACUGAUAGAAUUUAAAACUUAAAAAAAAAAAAGUUGCAUGAAUAUAUGGAAAGCAAGUUAUGUAAGAUAAUACAAUCUGUUUGAUCCAAAUAUUUUAUAUUCAGCAUCUAUAGAAACAACUUGAAACUGAUUAUGUACGAAGGCAGAUUAUAAACCACAUACUCAGUGCUUGCCAGGAUGAGUGGCAGCACAUCACAGGCGUUAGUGUUCUGCUGCCAAGAAAUAAGCAGCAACCGAAGUCCCAGUUUUCUGAAACAGAUUUCACUCUGCAAAAAUAACUUUUGUACAAUCAGUUGGGCUUUAUUUAUCUGAAAUGUCUUGUGACCCAGGCACACUAAAAUCUCUGGUGUUUCCAGGCCUCUGCCUACAAGAGCUUCCAGGAAAACCUUUGGCAGCAACGGCUUUUUUAGCUGCAACUCCAUCAGUCGCCGCCCCUUUCUUUUAGGGGCAUGUGUUGCAGAUCAGUCCAGCCAGAUGCUCUGAGCUUCUCAGGUAGGAGUCAGUCCUGGUGCAACAUCAUGAGGCCAAUGCAGAAACCCAAGGCCCGAGCAGAUGAGCCCCAGAGACAGCAAGAGGGGGGUUGGCUGAGGCACUCUACCACUUGUACCCAGGAGAUUUGAAGGGCGGACACAGGAGCCUGUGUCUGCCUGAAUCUUUCUAAACUCUCCCCUCCCUUGUUUCUGUAAUGAUCUUUUGUAGCUACAGAACACUGCGGAGAAGAUCUGGUUUUACAUGAAACUCGUCUGAACUGAAAUUGCAGAACCAUGACCUCAGUCUGGGUGUCUGGACACAACUGCAGCACAAUUCAAUAACGGUACCAGUUUGGGAAACAAAGGAACAGUGCUGUUUAAGAACAGGAAGGAUGGCUGCACCCCCAGCAAACACAGCUUGCCCACUAGUGAGAGUUAACUCUGUGCAUCAGCUUGAUGCAUGAUUUGGAGGAGCUUCUGGCUUUCUACAACUCUCAAAUAGUACAGAGGGCCAUGUACAAUAAUACUUAUUCUGCUUAAAAUGUUAAGCCUCCUGCAUGGGCUCUGGAUAGAAGAAAGGCACCAUCAGAAACCUGAAAUUCUGCUAGCCAGCAUAUAGCUGGCCCAAGGAGAAUGCAGGAAGUGUUCCUAAGUGUAACCACUUUUCCAAGCAACUUGCUUUUUAAAGCUAGCAGCACAGCUGAGACCCAUAUGUGAAUGCACAAAUUUUUGUUGACCAUUUGCUUAUAGUAUCCAGUCAAAUUUCACAGGGGAAAUGUGCAUCUCUACAAAGGCACAUAAACAGCAUGAGAAGUCUUUUCCAUUCCACUGUUUCUUUCUAUGUAUUUAUCAUAGCAUUGUGUAUACUGAGGUUAACAAUGACUUCUGUUUGCAGAGUUAUCCACACAGCACUGUUCACAGUCACAAAAUAUUUGGUAAUCUGGGGCCUUAACCACUAUAGUGUGGCUUUCUUUAUAUCCACAGCUUCAUAAUGCAUUAAAAAACAGCAGUAACUGUGUGCAAACAAUUAGAAUCCUAUGGCUUUUAAAACAAAAAAGACCUCCCAGCUUUGAGUUGACUGCUGGGAAUAAAUUGUGGUUUCCUGGCAUUUGUGAAUUAGCAAGUGAGUGAGGGGAAAAAUAUCCCAGCACGGCCAAAAUGCACAUAAACUAACACGGCUGCAUCAUCCCAUCAUCACACACAGUGCAGUUUCACAUCCCUGAUAUUGCACUACACUUUGUAUCCUCAUCUCCCAUUCAGAACAACUAGAAAGUGGAAUUCCAAGCAA